UAUCUCUUAAUUUAUCAUUAAAACCAAAAAACCAAAAAAAAAGC
rnacentral:sRNA from 1 species